AACGUAGGAGACAAACGUUAUCCGGAGUUACUGGGCGUAAAGGGCGUGCAGGUGGUCUGUUAAGUCUGGCGUGAAAGCUCUCGGCUAAACCGGGAGAGGUCGUUGGAUACUGGCGGACUAGAGGACGGUAGAGGUGUGUGGAAUUCCGGGUGUAGUGGUGAAAUGCGUAGAGAUCCGGAGGAACACCAGUGGCGAAGGCGACACACUGGGCCGUACCUGACACUAAGACGCGACAGCAUGGGGAGCGAACGGG
rnacentral:rRNA from 1 species